GGGGGCGUACCGGUUUCGACGGGGGAAGGGAUGGGUCGAGCAGCGAGCCGAGUUUUCGUCAACUCGUUAAACAGGCGAGACUUUCAAAUUAACUGCAGAAGAUAAUUUUGCUUUAGCAGCCUAACGGCUGCUCGUCCGGCCGGGAGCGCUUACGACCCGGUGCAGGGCGUCACACAGUAAGCUUACCCGCUUCGGCUCCGCCCCGAGGCCGACCGGCGGGGAAAUCAAUCGGAGCUAGCCCUGCCGCAGUCCGUCUGCGGACGGCAGCAUGGCGAAACCAAAACGCAGACUGCGCUCGGAGAUACUGGACUGGUCUCUCUUUCGGACGCGGGUUCGAUUCCCGCCGCCUCCACCA
rnacentral:tmRNA from 1 species